GCCGCAAGGGCGAUUUCGGUCACGGG
rnacentral:piRNA from 1 species